CCUACGGGUGACAGCAGUGAGGAAUAUUGGUCAAUGGCCGCGAGCCUGAACCAGCCAAGUCGCGUGAAGGAUGACUGCCCUACGGGUUGUAAACCUCUUUUAUAAAGGAAUAAAGUGAGUCACGUGUGCCUUUUUGUAUGUACUUUAUGAAUAAGCAUCGGCUAACUCCGUGCCAGCAGCCGCGGUAAUACGUAGGUUGCAAGCGUUGUCCGGAAUUACUGGGUGUAAAGGGAGCGCAGGCGGGAAGCCAAGUCAGCUGUUAAAAUUACGGGCUUAACUUGUAGACUGCAGUUGAAACUGGUUUUCUUGAGUGAAGUAGAGGUUGGCGGAAUGCGGGGUGUAGCGGUGAAAUGCGUAGAUAUUCCGAGGAACACCGGUGGCGAAGGCAGCAAACUGGGGUUUAACUGACGCUGAGGCUCGAAAGUGUGGGGAGCAAACAGGAUUAGAUACCCGGGUAGUC
rnacentral:rRNA from 1 species